UUUCGAAUCAUUCACAAUGGGCGAAAGCCUGAUGGUGCGACGCCGCGUGAGGGAUGAAGGCCUUCGGGUUGUAAACCUCUGUCACCGGGGAAGAAACGCUUCAAGUUAACAGCUUGAAGCCUGACUUAACCCGGAGAGGAAGCAGUGGCUAACUCUGUGCCAGCAGCCGCGGUAAUACAGAGACUGCAAGCGUUAUUCGGAUUCACUGGGCGUAAAUGGUGCGCAGGCGGCCGGGUGUGUCAGAUGUGAAAUCCCGAGGCUUAACCUCGGAACUGCGUCUGAAACUACUCGGCUAGAGUAUUGGAGAGGGUAACGGAAUUCACGGUGUAGCAGUGAAAUGACGUAGAUAUCGUGAGGAACACCAGAGGCGAAGGCGGUUACCUGGACAAUUACUGACGCUCAGGCACGAAAGCA
rnacentral:rRNA from 1 species